rnacentral:rRNA from 1 species
GCGGUAUCCUGACCGUGCAAAGGUAGCAUAAUCAUUUGUUCUCUAAAUAAGGACUUGUAUGAAUGGCCGCACGAGGGUUUUACUGUCUCUUACUUCCAAUCAGUGAAAUUGACCUUCCCGUGAAGAGGCGGGAAUGCACAAAUAAGACGAGAAGACCCUAUGGAGCUUUAACUAACCAACCCAAAGAGAAUAAAUUUAACCAUUAAGGAGUAACAACAAUCUCCAUGAGUUGGUAGUUUCGGUUGGGGUGACCUCGGAGAAUAAAAAACCCUCCGAGCGAUUUUAAAGACUAGACCCACAAGUCAAAUCACUCUAUCGCUCAUUGAUCCAAAAACUUGAUCAACGGAACAAGUUACCCUAGGGAUAACAGCGCAAUCCUAUUCAAGAGUCCAUAUCGACAAUAGGGUUUACGACCUCGAUGUUGGAUCAGGACAUCCUGAUGGUGCAACCGCUAUCAAAGGUUCGUUUGUUCAACGAUUAAAGUCCUA